rnacentral:rRNA from 1 species
UACGUAGGGUGCAAGCGUUGUCCGGAAUUAUUGGGCGUAAAGAGCUCGUAGGCGGUCUGUCGCGUCUGCUGUGAAAACUUGGGGCUCAACCCCAAGCCUGCAGUCGAUACGGGCAGACUAGAGUCCGGCAGGGGAGACUGGAAUUCCUGGUGUAGCGGUGAAAUGCGCAGAUAUCAGGAGGAACACCGGUGGCGAAGGCGGGUCUCUGGGCCGGAACUGACGCUGAGGAGCGAAAGCGUGGGGAGCGAACAGG